AACGAACGCUGGCGGCAGGCCUAAAACAUGCAAGUCGAGCGGGCAUAGCAAUAUGUCAGCGGCGGACGGGUGAAUAACACGUGGGAACAUGCCCUUUGGUACGGAACAACUCAGGGAAACUUGAGCUAAUACCGUAUGUGCCGGUAACGGGAAAGAUUUAUCGCCAAAGGAUUGGCCCGCGUCCGAUUAGCUAGUUGGUGAGGUAACGGCUCACCAAGGCGACGAUCGGUAGCUGGUUUGAGAGAACGAUCAGCCACACUGGGACUGAGACACGGCCCAGACUCCUACGGGAGGCAGCAGUUGGGAAUCUUGGACAAUGGGGG
rnacentral:rRNA from 1 species